rnacentral:rRNA from 1 species
UACGUAGGGUGCGAGCGUUAAUCGGAAUUACUGGGCGUAAAGCGUGCGCAGGCGGUUUUGUAAGCCAGGUGUGAAAUUCCAGGGCUCAACCUUGGGGCUGCGUUCGAGACGGGUAUUCUUGAGUUCGGAAGAGGGUCGUGGAAUUCCCAGUGUAGAGGUGAAAUUCGUAGAUAUUGGGAAGAACACCGGUGGCGAAGGCGGCGACCUGGUCCUUUUACUGACGCUGAGGCGCGAAAGCGUGGGGAGCAAACAGG